CCCGGACGACCGUAGCAGUCGGCGGAUGACGGGAGCUUGCUCCUUGAUUAGCGGCGGACGGGUGAGUAAUGCCUAGGAAUCUGCCUGGUAGUGGGGGACAACGUUUCGAAAGGAACGCUAAUACCGCAUACGUCCUACGGGAGAAAGCAGGGGACCUUCGGGCCUUGCGCUAUCAGAUGAGCCUAGGUCGGAUUAGCUAGUUGGUGGGGUAAUGGCUCACCAAGGCGACGAUCCGUAACUGGUCUGAGAGGAUGAUCAGUCACACUGGAACUGAGACACGGUCCAGACUCCUACGGGAGGCAGCAGUGGGGAAUAUUGGACAAUGGGCGAAAGCCUGAUCCAGCCAUGCCGCGUGUGUGAAGAAGGUCUUCGGAUUGUAAAGCACUUUAAGUUGGGAGGAAGGGCAGUAAGUUAAUACCUUGCUGUUUUGACGUUACCGACAGAAUAAGCACCGGCUAACUCUGUGCCAGCAGCCGCGGUAAUACAGAGGGUGCAAGCGUUAAUCGGAAUUACUGGGCGUAAAGCGCGCGUAGGUGGUUCGUUAAGUUGGAUGUGAAAGCCCCGGGCUCAACCUGGGAACUGCAUCCAAAACUGGCGAGCUAGAGUACGGUAGAGGGUGGUGGAAUUUCCUGUGUAGCGGUGAAAUGCGUAGAUAUAGGAAGGAACACUUGUGGCCAAGGCGACCACCUGGACUGAUACUGACACUGAGGUGCGAAAGCGUGGGGGAGCAAACGGGAUUAAUUCCCCU
rnacentral:rRNA from 1 species